UUUUGCCUAAAACAUAUUUACAAACAAAAAUAGCUUUAUUUUAAAUACAGUAUGUAUAUAUUUCUUGUAGUUUUAUCUUAACUACUCCCCUGAAUAUGUUUUUUUCUUUCAGUAAAUUGCCCUUUUGAGACUGAAUACUCCAGUUAACAAUUAAUAAAUUACCAAAAUAGUUGACGAUUAUCUCAAUAAUCAAUUCAUCACGAAUAAUCAGACUAAUCAUUUCAGUCUCCAGGCUUUGUUACACCUGAUCUCCAUUCAAACGGCUCACACCAACGUUAGGACAAACCCACAAGGACACAACAAUUUCGCUUUUGAAUUUAUUGGAUUAGAUUAUAUUCCUACAGCAAACAAUAAAAACAAACAUGUAAUCUUAACACACUAAAGUUAUCUUAUGCUACAGUUUAAUACAAAAGGCUGGUGCCUUUCCUUAAUCCCAUCCUGAAAAGCAAACCUUAAAACUGUUCAGAUCACACAAAGUGUGAAUGAAUUCUGAACUAAAACAAGAUUCUGAUGCCUCAGAACCUUGAAUCUGGCAACCGAAUCAACUGAGGAUUCAGGAAAAGGUGCAACACAAUGACACUUUCAUAUUGAAUCCCUUAUUAUCUGUUUUUUGACACUUUCAUUUUAAAAUCCCUUAUUAUCUGUUUUUUGACCAUCUCUGAUUUUGUUUUAUUUCAUUUUUUUUCCCUGGGAUGUUUAAUUUUGUGUUGAUCCUUGUACUAAGUUUAUUCAUUGUUGAUGAAUUGUUUAAUUCUUACAAUUAUUAACAUCAAAUUAAUUUAUUUUAAGUAAAUAUAACUGAAGCAUUUCUUUAAAAUUAAACUAUUGCCAAUAAAGCUGGAAUUAUUUUUAUAUUCCUCUUUUAUCUGGUUUUAAUUUUUAUUGUUAUGUUGAAAAAUACUUACGAUACAUUUUAUCACUAAAUGAAUCAAAUUUUCCCAAUAAUUUCAUAUGAAAAAGUAAAUAAUUGAUUGUUAGUCAGCAAAUUCCUGUUUUUCUGGGGUAUAAAUAUCCAGUAACAAAAGACCCCAUUUCUCUUUAGAACUCUUCAAAAGGGGAAAGACAAGAGAACAUGUUCAAAUAGGGGAGAUGUGCUGAUCUUCAGAAAUCAGGAAAUGGCUAAAAUAAAUAUAAAUGUUUAGCAAAUAUUGCACUUCAUAUUACAUGUAAAUACUAUUCAGGCAAAUUAUAGCCCAUCUUUUUAGGAACAAAAAUGAGCCACCGUAUGCUGAUGUACAGACCUACAAUAAAAGAUUUUUGCUGUUUUGGAACGAGGCACCAAAUAUGGCUGCAGCCCAGAGACCAACAUCCUUCUAAACCCGGCCCUGACCUGGGGUGAAAAUAACUGAAGGACUUUGUGUAUUUGCUUUCAAAUGACGCGAAUAAAAUAUAACAUCUCAUGUAAAAUAUCUUACACUCUAAGCUAUCUCCAAAUUAUUUAAGAUAAUAAUUUGUAAUACGUUAUUAUACCAUAACGCAAUUACUUUAAAGGUUAAAUGUCGUGAUUUCUUUAUAUCUGAACACCAAUAUUAAACUAAACCACCAUUUUUAUUCUUAUACUAUUUUAUUUACAAGCAUCCUACAUUAUCUAAAUGUAUCUAAAAUGUAAAAAAAUCAGUUUUUAGAUGUUUUUUUAUAUAUAUAUAUAUAUUAACUAUGUUUGAUAACAAUAAAUCUCAUAGAUCAGUGGCUAAUUUACCCUUAAAUGGUUCCAUGUCUGUGGACUGAGCAGCAGAGCUGAGUUUGCUGAAUGCAGCAACUACAAACCUAA